UACGUAGGUGGCAAGCGUUGUCCGGAUUUAUUGGGUUUAAAGGGUGCGUAGGCGGCUUUGUAAGUCAGUGGUGAAAUAUGGCAGCUCAACUGUCAGGGUGCCAUUGAUACUGCAGAGCUUGAGUACAGAUGAGGUAGGCGGAAUUGACGGUGUAGCGGUGAAAUGCUUAGAUAUCGUCAAGAACACCGAUAGCGAAGGCAGCUUACUGGGCUGUAACUGACGCUGAGGCGCGACAGCGUGGGGAGCAAACAGG
rnacentral:rRNA from 1 species